rnacentral:rRNA from 1 species
CAGCAGCCACGGUAAUACGUAGGUGGCAAGCGUUGUCCGGAAUUAUUGGGCGCAAAGCGCGCGCAGGCGGAUAGGUCAGUCUGUCUUAAAAGUUCGGGGCUUAACCCCGUGAUGGGAUGGAAACCGCCAAUCUAGAGUAUCGGAGAGGAAAGUGGAAUUCCUAGUGUAGCGGUGAAAUGCGUAGAUAUAUGGAGGAACACCAGUGGCGAAGGCGACUCUCUGGUCUGUAACUGACGCUGAGGCGCGAAAGCGUGGGGAGCAAACAGGAUUAGAUACCCCUGUAGUCCCUGUCUCUUAUACC